GACGAACGCUGGCGGCGUGCUUAACACAUGCAAGUCGAGCGGUAAGGCUCCUUCGGGAGUACACGAGCGGCGAACGGGUGAGUAACACGUGAGCAAUCUGCCCUUCACUUUGGGAUAACUCCGGGAAACCGGUGCUAAUACCGAAUGCGACCACUUCAGGCAUCUGACGGUGGUGGAAAGUUCCGGCGGUGAAGGAUGAGCUCGCGGCCUAUCAGCUUGUUGGUGAGGUAAUGGCUCACCAAGGCUUCGACGGGUAGCCGGCCUGAGAGGGUGACCGGCCACACUGGGACUGAGACACGGCCCAGACUCCUACGGGAGGCAGCAGUGGGGAAUAUUGGACAAUGGGCGAAAGCCUGAUCCAGCAACGCCGCGUGAGGGAUGACGGCCUCGG
rnacentral:rRNA from 1 species